rnacentral:rRNA from 1 species
UAGGGAAUCUUCCGCAAUGGACGAAAGUCUGACGGAGCAACGCCGCGUGAACGAUGAAGGUCUUCGGAUCGUAAAGUUCUGUUAUCAGGGAAGAACAAGUAUCGGAGUAACUGCCGGUACCUUGACGGUACCUGACCAGAAAGCCACGGCUAACUACGUGCCAGCAGCCGCGGUAAUACGUAGGUGGCAAGCGUUGUUCGGAAUUAUUGGGCGUAAAGCGCGCGCAGGCGGUUUCUUAAGUCUGAUGUGAAAUCUCGUGGCUCAACCACGAGCGGCCAUUGGAAACUGGGAAACUUGAGUGCAGAAGAGAAGAGCGGAAUUCCACGUGUAGCGGUGAAAUGCGUAGAGAUGUGGAGGAACACCAGUGGCGAAGGCGGCUCUUUGGUCUGUAACUGACGCU